GACAGAGGUGGCAAACGUUACCCGGAUUCAUUGGGCGUAAAGGACGUCUAGGCGGUUUGGUGUGUCCUCUGUAAAAGCCCCCUGCUUAACGGGGGGAGGCCAGGGGAAACUACCAGACUAGAGGGUCGGAGAGGGAAGCGGAACUACCAGAGGAGCGGUGAAAUGCGUAGAUACUGGUAGGAACCUCGAUAGCGAAGGCAGCUUCCUGGCCGAUACCUGACGCUGAAGCGUGAAAGCGUGGGGAGCAAACCGG
rnacentral:rRNA from 1 species